CCUACGGGGGACAGCAGUGGGGGAUAUUGCACAAUGGGGGAAACCCUGAUGCAGCGACGCCGCGUGUGGGAAGACGGUCCUCUGGAUUGUAAACCACUGUCCCCAGGGACGAAGAUGACGGUACCGGGGGAGGAAGCGCCGGCUAACUACGUGCCAGCAGCCGCGGUAAUACGUCGGGAGCGAGCGUGGUCCGGAAUUACGGGGGGUAAAGGGAGCGGAGGCGGGACUGCAAGUUGGGUGUCAAAUCUACCGGCUCAACCGGUAGCCGCACUCAAAACUGCAGUUCUUGAGUGAAGUAGAGGCAGGCGGCAUUCCUAGUGUAGCGGUGAAAUGCGUCGAUAUUAGGAGGAACACCAGUGGCGAAGGCGGCCUGCUGGGCUUUUACUGACGCUGAGGCUCGACAGUGUGGGGAGCAAACAGGAUUAGAUACCCCAGUAGUC
rnacentral:rRNA from 1 species